rnacentral:rRNA from 1 species
AUUGAACGCUGGCGGCAUGCCUUACACAUGCAAGUCGAACGGUAACAGGUCUUCGGAUGCUGACGAGUGGCGAACGGGUGAGUAAUACAUCGGAACGUGCCUAGUAGUGGGGGAUAACUACUCGAAAGAGUGGCUAAUACCGCAUGAGAUCUACGGAUGAAAGCAGGGGAUCGCAAGACCUUGUGCUACUAGAGCGGCCGAUGGCGGAUUAGGUAGUUGGUGGGAUAAAAGCUUACCAAGCCGACGAUCUGUAGCUGGCCUGAGAGGACGAUCAGCCACACUGGGACUGAGACACGGCCCAGACUCCUACGGGAGGCAGCAGUGGGGAAUUUUGGACAAUGGGCGAAAGCCUGAUCCAGCAAUGCCGCGUGCAGGAUGAAGGCCUUCGGGUUGUAAACUGCUUUUGUACGGAACGAAAAGCCCCGGGUUAAUACCCUGGGGUCAUGACGGUACCGUAAGAAUAAGCACCGGCUAACUACGUGCCAGCAGCCGCAGUAA